GAUGAACGCUGGCGGCGUGCCUAAUACAUGCAAGUCGAGCGAACAGACGAUGAGCUUGCUCCUCUGACGUUAGCGGCGGACGGGUGAGUAACACGUGGAUAACCUACCUAUAAGACUGGGAUAACUUCGGGAAACCAGAGCUAAUACCGGAUAAUAUAUUGAACCGCAUGGUUCAAUAGUGAAAGACGGUUUUGCUGUCACUUAUAGCUGGAUCCGCGCCGCAUUAGCUAGUUGGUAAGGUAACGGCUUACCAAGGCAACGAUGCGUAGCCGACCUGAGAGGGUGAUCGGCCACACUGGAACUGAGACACGGUCCAGACUCCUACGGGAGGCAGCAGUAGGGAAUCUUCCGCAAUGGGCGAAAGCCUGACGGAGCAACGCCGCGUGAGUGAUGAAGGUCUUCGGAUCGUAAAACUCUGUUAUUAGGGAAGAACAAAUGUGUAAGUAACUAUGCACGUCUUGACGGUACCUAAUCAGAAAGCCACGGCUAACUACGUG
rnacentral:rRNA from 1 species